UUUGAAAUCUGGCCCUUUCAGGGUCCGAGUUGUAAUUUGCAGAGGGUGCUUUGGCGUCGGUUGUGGUCUAAGUUCCUUGGAACAGGACGUCGCAGAGGGUGAGAAUCCCGUACGUGGCCGCCAACCUUUGCCGUGUAAAGCCCCUUCGACGAGUCGAGUUGUUUGGGAAUGCAGCUCUAAAUGGGAGGUAAAUUCCUUCUAAAGCUAAAUAUCUGCCAGAGACCGAUAGCGCACAAGUAGAGUGAUCGAAAGAUGAAAAGCACUUUGGAAAGAGAGUCAAAAAGCACGUGAAAUUGUUGAAAGGGAAGCGCUUGCAGUUAGACAUGCCCUUAGUCGCUCAGCCGGGCUUCUGCCCGGUGCACUCUUCUAUCGGCAGGCCAGCAUCAGUUUGGGCGGUUGGAUAAAGGUCUAUUAAACGUGACUCCCCCCGGGGAGAGCUUAUAGGGUAGACGCCAUGCAACCAGCCCGAACUGAGGUCCGCGCAUCUGCUAGGAUGCUGGCGUAAUAGCUGUAAGCGGCCCGUCUUGAAACACGGACCAAGGAGUCUAACAUCUAUGCGAGUGUUUGGGUGUAAAGCCCGGACGCGCAAUGAAAGUAAACGGAGGUGGGAUCCCUCACGGGUGCACCAUCGACCGAUCCUGAUGUAUUCGGAUGGAUUUGAGUAAGAGCAUAGCUGUUGGGACCCGAAAGAUGGUGAACUAUGCCUGAAUAGGGUGAAGCCAGAGGAAACUCUGGUGGAGGCUCGCAGCGGUUCUGACGUGCAAAUCGAUCGUCAAAUUUGGGCAUAGGGGCGAAAGACUAAUCGAACUAUCUAGUAGCUGGUUCCUGCCGAA
rnacentral:rRNA from 1 species